rnacentral:misc_RNA from 1 species
UACUAAAGAAAUGGAACUAAAUGGUUAGUAUUAUUUAGUAAAAAGAAAAACUAAAAAAAUUUGAUAGUAUAUUGCUCUUCUUGUUUUUGUGGGCUCAAGAAGCUUUCUUGCAACUAUUUUUUAAAGCCUUGUCAUCAAAAAAUAAUGUAAUAACAUGUCAUGGAUCAUAUAUCUUCCCUCCUUGGUGGACCUUACACUAUUAUGAUUUACAUGUCAUACCUACCAAUCCUGCUAGACCACUCCAUUGUUGCCCCAACCCUUGUUUAAAUUAUUUUUGACAAGAAAGGAAGCUUUUUAAUGUCAAGAAUGUUCCCAUCUUUCUAAAUAUAAGAAGCUCUGAUUGACAGAGUAGGGAACUCUCUCUCUCCCCCUCUUUUGUAUUAGUGUUUUGAUAAGUUGGUGGGCCAUGGUUAAAUCAAGGUUCAUCGCAAAGAAAUCUAGAUCCUUAAUGUGUUCUUAACAUUGGCUAAUCACUGUUUUUAUUUCUCUCUGUUACUUUCAGGAUUUGUGAUUCCAAAAGGAUGGAGAAUCUAUGUGUAUACUAGGGAGAUAAACUAUGAU